GAUGAACGCUGGCGGCGUGCCUAAUACAUGCAAGUCGAGCGAACAGACGAGGAGCUUGCUCCUCUGAUGUUAGCGGCGGACGGGUGAGUAACACGUGGAUAACCUACCUAUAAGACUGGGAUAACUUCGGGAAACCGGAGCUAAUACCGGAUAAUAUAUUGAACCGCAUGGUUCAAUAGUGAAAGACGGUCUUGCUGUCACUUAUAGAUGGAUCCGCGCCGCAUUAGCUAGUUGGUAAGGUAACGGCUUACCAAGGCAACGAUGCGUAGCCGACCUGAGAGGGUGAUCGGCCACACUGGAACUGAGACACGGUCCAGACUCCUACGGGAGGCAGCAGUAGGGAAUCUUCCGCAAUGGGCGAAAGCUUGACGGAGCAACGCCGCGUGAGUGAUGAAGGUCUUCGGAUCGUAAAACUCUGUUAUUAGGGAAGAACAAAUGUGUAAGUAACUAUGCACGUCUUGACGGUACCUAAUCAGAAAGCCACGACUAACUACGUG
rnacentral:rRNA from 1 species